AGAGAUUCCUGCAGGGUCAGGAGCAGGGCUGAAGUCCCCAAAGUAGGCUGUGCCUCAGAAAAAAAAAAUGUUUCUUUUCUAGAUGUGGAACCCUGGGAGAACUAAGGUGAUUUCAGAAGAGUUUUUGGGCAAAGAAAACAUCACAAAAGGAAAUCAGUGUAAUGGUACAAAACAGAGGUACAGAGCUGUGCAGAGAAAGCAGGAAGUGAAGUAUCUCCCUACUCCCUUGAGUCUACUCAUCUGACCCUUUGGUGUUGACUUCAUUUGGUAAGCCCCAUCUUCAGAUGACAGAUUACUAAAAACAAUGAGGAGUUUUUAUCCUUUGGUUUUGUUUAGGAGUCUUCAAGAUGC
rnacentral:lncRNA from 1 species